rnacentral:rRNA from 1 species
ACGAACGCUGGCGGCGUGCCUAAUACAUGCAAGUCGAACGGUCUUUCUAUGGAAGCUUGCUUCCACUGAGAAGAUAGUGGCGAACGGGUGAGUAACACGUGGGUAACCUGCCCAUAAGAGGGGGAUAACAUCCGGAAACGGGUGCUAAUACCGCAUAGUUUUCUUGAUUGCAUGAUUGAGAAAGGAAAGACGGCCUUUGUGCUGUCGCUUAUGGAUGGACCCGCGGCGUAUUAGUUAGUUGGUGAGGUAACGGCUCACCAAGACGAUGAUACGUAGCCGACCUGAGAGGGUGAUCGGCCACAUUGGGACUGAGACACGGCCCAAACUCCUACGGGAGGCAGCAGUAGGGAAUCUUCCGCAAUGGACGAAAGUCUGACGGAGCAACGCCGCGUGAGUGAAGAAAGGUUUUCGGAUCGUAAAACUCUGUUGUCAGAGAAGAACAAGUUGGAGAGUAACUGCUCCAGCCUUGACGGUAUCUGACCAGAAAGCCACGGCUAACUACGUGCCAGCCGCAGC